UACGUAGGUGGCAAGCGUUGUCCGGAUUUACUGGGCGUAAAGAGCGCGCAGGCGGUCGUUCAAGUCGAGUGUGAAAGCCCCCGGCUCAACUGGGGAGGGUCACUCGAUACUGAUCGACUCGAAGGCAGAAGAGGGAAGCGGAAUUCCCGGUGUAGUGGUGAAAUGCGUAGAUAUCGGGAGGAACACCAGUGGCGAAGGCGGCUUUCUGGUCUGCUCUUGACGCUGAGGCGCGAAAGCUAGGGUAGCAAGCGGG
rnacentral:rRNA from 1 species